rnacentral:tRNA from 1 species
UAGCUCACUGGUAGAGUGCAUGUUUAGCAUGCAUGAGGUCCUGGGUUCAAUCCCCAG